rnacentral:rRNA from 1 species
GGCUUUUUGAUAAUAAUUUAAAGUCUAGCCUGCCCAAUGAAUUUUUAAUGGCCGCGGUAUUUUGACCGUGCAAAGGUAGCAUAAUAAUUUGUUUUUUAAUUGGAAACUGGUAUGAAUGGUUGGACGAGAGAAAGACUGUCUCAAUUUAAAUUUAAUUAGAAUUUUAUUUUUAAGUUAAAAAGCUUAAAUGUAUUUAAAAGACGAGAAGACCCUAUAGAGUUUUAUAUAGAUAUUUUUAUUAUUAUUUAAAGAAUUUGAUUAUUAUAAUUAUAUUUGUAUUUGGUUGGGGUGAUUAAAAAAUUUAAUAAACUUUUUUUUUAUUUUAACAUUAAUAAAUGAUUAUUUGAUCCAUAAAAAUGAUUAUAAGAAUAAAUUACCUUAGGGAUAACAGCGUAAUUUUUUUUGAGAGUUCUUAUCGAAAGAAAAGUUUGCGACCUCGAUGUUGGAUUAAA